rnacentral:lncRNA from 1 species
AGCACUUCCCAGAGAUGCCUGUGCUGCUGAUCUGGAAAACCACACUGAGUUAAGACUCAUUAAAAAUCUCUCUUGGCAAUAUCAGAUCUUGCAUUGAAUAGGAGGUCAUGAUCCCAUCAUGUCAACAAAAUCCAUUUCUGAGUAUUCCAAUGUCCAAGGAGGUUGAGAUCCAGGCUGAACCAGCCUCAAGGCCUCGCAGAGUGUGUCUGUGCCCCAUUCCUGAGCCAAGUGGCAGUGCCAGGCAAAUUAGCUCUGUAAAUUUGGUCAGAAUUGUGCUCCCCUGUGCACAGCUGUGGUGAAUUUCUCCUUUUGUACUUCCUCAGAGGCAAGGAAAGAUCCACAAAUGCCCCACUCCCAUUUUAACCAGUGGUCUCCCCAGAACAGGGGAUUGUCUCCCUGAGGUCUUGUCUUGCUCCUUCCUUCCUGCAACCUUCCCUCUCCACUGUCCCACUGAGAGCUGGUCACCUUCUCAUCCCAUGGGAAUCAGUGAUCCUUGGGUGUUUUCCUUUGGCUUUCAUUCUGAAGAAUCUGAAGCUCAAACUGAAGAAAUGUGGUGCUGGACUGUUGUUUUGGGGCCCAAGUGUUCGAGGUGCAAUGCAGAUCCAGCAAAGUCACAAAAGGCCACACCAAAGAAGCUGAGAAGAUGCAAACUUUGUCACUGGUGCACAUGGGAACCUUGCCACCUAGCAUGGGAGUCAGACAGCUGCGGCUGGAGCCGUAGGAUAUUAAAGGACUUGUGUGAAAAUGGAGGCUGCCACCACAGGGCAGGGCCAGAUCACCAUGCUGAGAGAGAAGGAGGUGGCAGCCUGCACCAGCCGAGGCAAGCAGAGGUCAUUGGCCCUGGCCAUCACUACUUCAGG